AUCGCUUCUCGGCCUUUUGGCUAAGAUCAAGUGUAGGAUUUAUCAUGACUACAAAUAUAGUUCUGAACAUCUUAAGGAAUUUGAUUAUUUAUAAGGUGAAUAUUAAUUCAUUUUUUAGUAUCCUUAACAGUUUCUAAUAAAAAUGACAAUUU
ensembl:snRNA LOC120094030 U2 spliceosomal RNA